UAAGGUGGUUAUAGCACGAGGGAUCCACCUCUUCCCAUUCCGAACAGAGAAGUUAAGCCUCGUCACGCCGAUGGUACUGCGAUUUAGUGGGAGAGUAGGUAGCUGCCGUUU
rnacentral:rRNA from 1 species